rnacentral:rRNA from 1 species
UGGGGAAUAUUGGACAAUGGGGGGAACCCUGAUCCAGCAAUGCCGCGUGUGUGAAGAAGGCCUGAGGGUUGUAAAGCACUUUCAGUGGGGAGGAGGAUUGACAUGUUAAGAGCUAGUUAAUUGGACGUUACCCACAGAAGAAGCACCGGCUAACUCCGUGCCAGCAGCCGCGGUAAUACGGAGGGUGCGAGCGUUAAUCGGAAUUACUGGGCGUAAAGGGUGCGUAGGUGGUGCGUUAAGUUAGCUGUGAAAUACCUGGGCUUAACCUGGGCAGGUCAGCUAAGACUGGCGGACUCGAGUAUGGGAGAGGGUAGUGGAAUUUCCGGUGUAGCGGUGAAAUGCGUAGAGAUCGGAAGGAACACCAGUGGCGAAGGCGGCUACCUGGCCUAAUACUGACACUGAGGCACGAAAGCGUGGGGAGCAAACAGGAUUAGAUACCCCCGUAGUCC